rnacentral:rRNA from 1 species
UUCUCCUGAUUUAGCCAGGGGGUCACACCUCUUCCCAUUUCGAACAGAGAAGUUAAGCUCUUGUGCGGCGAUGAUACUGGCAAUGCCGGGAAAGUAGCCUGUCGGGAGAAC